CGACGCGCGGGGGUGGGGGGAAGGGGGCGCUGCGGAGAGGCGCGAGAGAAAGAGAUGCGGCGUCUCACCUACCGCGCAUGCGCUCGAGCGGCGGCGGGGGAUGGGUGUUUUGGGCGCCAGGUGAGCCGGCGUCAUCAGAGGGCGACGCGCUCGGAGCGCCCGCGUGCGGCUGCCGUUGGCACAGGCGAAGUCGCGGUUGCUUGGGGCAGGGGGGGUUGCUUUAGGCGUGGGGGGAAUCGGGACCGGUGACUGCCAGCGCUGAGCCGUCCCAAAGGUGCUCUUCCUUUCUAUACGCCUGGACACUCUCUAGUCCCAGUGCACAGGCAGCAGUGAACUGAGGAACGUCACCUGGACUCCACAGGACCCCGCAGUAUUACAAAUCUGGGAAAUGUGUUGGUGCUCGCAACGUUGAACAUACACGAAAACUUAGGGUACCUUGCUAUGCAAUAGACAACGAAUGUUCAAAAAGAAACAAAGCAUGAAAAGCGUUCAACACGAGCAGUCUUCUGCUCCUCCCUCAGGUCACCAUCUUUCUCUCUCCAUGGUAGCUUUCUCCAGAGGUCACUGCAGAAAACAAAUGUGUGAUAUCAUCCUGGCAGGAGCAAACCAGGCUUUGUGGCAAAGUAUUACAGAACUAUCCCUGUCCUUACUGCGCUCUGUAAGGACACCAUGAAAUCUCCCUCUCUUCACCCAUGCUUGGUCACAGCCAGCUUUCAUAGAUGUUUCUCUCAAGCUGUGUUCCUAGAAGAGCAGAGUCUGUGGUACUCAGUACCGAGCUCACAGUGCUGUUCUUCCCAGGCAGGUUUUGGAUACAGGACAGGAUUUUGAGAUCAUGAAGAUUGCCAAAAGGCCCCUAUAGCUCUGUUUUCCAACCCUAGUGUAUGUCUAUAACCUAUGCACAAAGGUUAUUUCAUCUAGGUCCUACCAUCUCUUCAGAUCACUUUUGGUUGCUGAUAUUACAACUAUCCAGGUUAUUCCUCCAAAACCUCCUCUUGAAUUAAGAGCUGAAAUGAGAUCAGACAUCACAAAAUUUGUUGUGAUAGUAGAGCAGAGAAAGUAGCAUACCUCCACACUAGAGAGUGACACUGUGACCCUCACUGGAAGACCAUUGUGCAUCAAGCAAUUAGGAAUCCAUAGAACAAUUGACCUGAGUGUAACCACAUACAUAUUGCAGUGCUGGGACCGGUGUUGUCCCAUGCGUAUCCCAUAGCCCAAGGGUAUACCCAUAGAGACAUAACAUUUGGCUCCCACUUAUGUUGUACAAGUAAUUAUGUUAUCUGCUUGGUGUUGCCUUUAUCUAAAUCUGCAGCAGUAAGUUCUCAUGUUUGUAUUCUGUUUUACAGUAGAAAUGACUAUUAGAGGAUUUAUUCUUUGUUUCUUUGUUAGUAUUGUUAGAAAAUCUUGUAAUAGCUUGAAUAACUAGAUGUGGAAUAGCACUUCCACAGACAGGGCUUGCAUGGUAUGAUAAUGCCCUAAUUGAAGGCCCAUUUGAUGCUACUGUAUGCAGGGUUACCUUUUGAAGUGGCGGUCUUCCUGCAAGACAUAUGGAGUUUAAAUGGAUCUAUCCAAAGAGACCUGGACAAGCUUCAAAGUGAGACUGUGUGAACCUAAUGAGGUUCGAUAAGGUCAAAUGCAAGAUUUUGCACUUGGGUUAGGGCAAUUCCAGAGAAGAAUGCAUUGAGAGCAGCUCUAGUGAGAAAGAUUCGGGUCUUCUGGUGAAUGAAAAGCUAGACACAAGAUAGCAGUCUGCACUUGCAGCCCAAAAGGCCAACACCAUUCUGGGCUGCAUCAAAAGAAGGGUGGCCAGUAGGAGGAGGAAGAUGAUUGUCCCCUUCUGUUCUGCCCUCAUGACAUCCUGUGUGGAGUCCUGCCUUCAGACCUGUGGCCUGCAGCAGAGGAAGCUAUUGGAGUGGGUCUGAAGUAGGUCACAAAGAUGAUCAGAAGACUGGAGUACCUCUCCUGUGAGGAAAGGUUGAUGGAGCUGGAGUUGUUCAGCCUGGAGAAGAGAAAGCUUUGAAGAGGCCUCUAUCCUUGUUUCAGCUGGAACAGAGUUGAUUUCCUUUACCGCAUCUGAUCUGAUGCUAUGUUUUGGUUCUAGGAGAAAAACAGUGUUGGUAACAUACCUGUAUUUUAGUUGUUGCUGAGCAGUGCUGCACAGAGCCAAGGACAUUUCAGUUUUUCAGCUUCUCAUACUAUCCUGACAGCAAAGAGGCUGGGAGGUUCACAAGGAGCUGUGAGCAGGCAGAACCAGGACAGCUGACCUAAACUGGCCAAAGGGACAUUUUUAUUUGUGGCUAAGAGACUAUUCAAAAAUACUGUGCUGAGAUCUACCCUGAGGAAGGGUGGUUGUGGGUUGCAAGUGCGGUGUAGCUGUGACUAGUCUGGACUCACAGAAUCACAGAAUCACAGAAUUGUAGGGGUUGGAAGGGACCUCUAGAGAUCAUCGAGA